UACAGAGGUCUCAAGCGUUGUUCGGAUUCAUUGGGCGUAAAGGGUGCGCAGGCGGUGCCGUAAGUCGGAUGUGAAAUCUUCGGGCUCAACCCGGAAAUUGCAUUCGAUACUGCGGUGCUCGAGGACUGGAGAGGAGACUGGAAUUCACGGUGUAGCAGUGAAAUGCGUAGAUAUCGUGAGGAAGGCCGGUGGCGAAGGCGGGUCUCUGGACAGUUCCUGACGCUGAGGCACGAAGGCCAGGGGAGCAAACGGG
rnacentral:rRNA from 1 species